CCCUAGUGUAAAUAAGGUUAUCUGACUUAAUCCAUCUGGCAAGAAAGAAGGUUGCACUUUAGGGCUAUAGAGAUUUCUUCCUCUUAGGGCUAAUUCUCUCCCUGGGAGGGUUCUAGAUACGACAUAGCCUUAGGUCUAAGGUCUAAGAUGCUCUUGAAGAUUAAUAUAAAAUGCUUUAUUUUUCUUAUAUGCUUUCCCCUGUA
rnacentral:lncRNA from 1 species